ensembl:lncRNA
GCGAGGUGGGACAGAGAGCCCGUAUAUACGAAAAUUGCAUUUACCACUUAUUGCUUAGCUAAUAAAAAAUGCAUAGUAUACAAUCGGUGACUCAUUGUCAUAUUUAUCCUGAUACCAGAUUCGAAUUGAGGCAAUUCUAACAAUAUCCCGCCAGAAAGGCUAAAGAAAUUUCACCCAGUGUGAGAUGGAAGUUGUUGGAGCAAGAAAACAUUUGUUUGGUGGACACAGUGUGGGCAUUACAAAUGCCUAAAAGGCGAGUGGCAACAUGUGGCGGACGCUGUGAAUGCUGCUGUCUCAGAAGGUCGGACCCUCAGAAAUAAGAACGACCUGGCUAAAAGGCGCAUAGCCUUACAAAGACAAAGUGUUUGUGCCACGGGCGGGGGAAUAGGGGACACCGUAGUUCAACCCCCUUGAUGAGCGACUUGUCGUUAUAAGGGAUUCCCUCCUGUGUGGAGUAGUGACGUGGGACACGGACACGCAAUACGCACCAGAUAUUCCAGUCGCUGCGUUUUCCAGCGGGGUCGGUGGUGCUGCAGUUGCGCAGGCGCUGAGUGCGCCCAGCCCCGGCGUCUCCACUGCACCUCAUGCAUCACAACCCUCCCGCGGCCAUGUCCUCACAGAUGCAGUCCUGCAAACGCAAAGAGACAUCAUCGACGCUAUUAACGAGGUUGCCAAGGAGUUGAAGUGGGACUGGCACGGCUUGGUUUCUGCGGGUGUUUCUCUGUAAUGCUGGACCCACUACAGCACAGAGAUCCAAGAGAACAACUCUUGGUAAUUGGAACCGGCUCAUAAGCCACUCACCAUCGCCCAGUAAAUCUAGCUGGUCUCUGAAAAUUCACUCUCCGAAUUCUUCCAUUCGUCAAAAAUCUUCCAACAGUGCCAAAGCAGCCAUUGUGCGUCAUUACGCAUUAUAAUUUCAUGCCUUUCUAUACCCACCCGUUUGAUUGUCAAAGCUACCCAAUUGCGUAACACCUUCAGGUGUGGUAAUUACCCUGAUUGUAACUGACAGUGGCAGGGCCAUUAUUACAUUGACAGUUCUGCGCAACGAACAUGUGAUAACAAUAUACUGUAUAAAACUGUGCGCUCGUAUGUGCCCGACUGAGGCAUCGAAAACUGCAUCAGUUUAAACGUCUUUUGUCUUACUGUUCACCUUAUUAUUU